rnacentral:rRNA from 1 species
AUUGAACGCUGGCGGCAGGCCUAACACAUGCAAGUCGAACGGUAACAGGAAGCAGCUUGCUGCUUCGCUGACGAGUGGCGGACGGGUGAGUAAUGUCUGGGAAACUGCCUGAUGGAGGGGGAUAACUACUGGAAACGGUAGCUAAUACCGCAUAACGUCGCAAGACCAAAGAGGGGGACCUUAGGGCCUCUUGCCAUCGGAUGUGCCCAGAUGGGAUUAGCUAGUAGGUGGGGUAACGGCUCACCUAGGCGACGAUCCCUAGCUGGUCUGAGAGGAUGACCAGCCACACUGGAACUGAGACACGGUCCAGACUCCUACGGGAGGCAGCAGUGGGGAAUAUUGCACAAUGGGCGCAAGCCUGAUGCAGCUAUGCCGCGUGUAUGAAGAAGGCCUUCGGGUUGUAAAGUACUUUCAGCGGGGAGGAAGGGAGUAAAGUUAAUACCUUUGCUCAUUGACGUUACCCGCAGAAGAAGCACCGGCUAACUCCGUG